UGGGGUACGAAGUGGGAAUUGGGGAGAGUGUGUGUAAGAAAGAGAGGGACCCUUCCCGGAAUAUGGGUGGUUAAAAAUGGGUGGUUAAAUAUGGGUGGUUAAACAUGCGGGUGACUUGACUGUGUGAGUGACGUAAGAGGAGGUGGUAUUCAAAAUGUAAAAGGUAUUCUGGGCUUAUCAAAUCGCAAAAGACAAAACGAGAACUCCAACAACCCUCCCACAUGUCCUUUGCCAAACCUCACCCACGAAUGGACAGCCACACUGAGAAGAGGGGUUUACACAACUGAAAAGGCUAUUUGGGGACAGAUCGCAUGAAAGCUUCCAGAAGAUACUCUGGAAUCAAUCUGUCAGACCUACAGUGGGGGGGGGAAAGUAUUUGAUCCCCUGCUGAUUUUGUACGUUUGCCCACUUACAAAGAAAUGAUCAGUCUAUAAUUUUAAUGGUAGGUUUAUUU
rnacentral:lncRNA from 1 species